rnacentral:rRNA from 1 species
UACGGAAGGGGCAAGCGUUGUUCGGAAUCAUUGGGCGUAAAGGGUGCGUAGGCUGAUCCGAAAGUGCUCCGUGAAAUCCCCCGGCUCAACCGGGGAACAGCGAGGCAUACUGCGGAUCUUGAGGCAGGUAGGCGCCGAGGGAACAGUAGGUGGAGCGGUGAAAUGCGUAGAUAUCUACUGGAACGCCGAUGGUGAAGACGCUCGGCUGGGCCUGUCCUGACGCUGAGGCACGAAAGCGUGGGGAGCAAACAGG